rnacentral:misc_RNA from 1 species
UUGGCGAAUCGGCGAAUCCCCCCCGACGCGGCGCCGCCCCGAUCCAGCAACCUCAGCUUCCGUCCCCGACGCCGGUCAGUUGUUGAUGCCUCGUCUUCCUCCUCUGGGGUAGAUCGAGCAUGGCGACUGCGUGCUCCGUUGAGGGAUGGUGCUGGAGUUCGGCCGUCCGCGGUGAAGGUCGCCAUGGCGGAUGAUGACGAUGUCAAUCCGGUCACCGGCAACGACGACCUUCGCGCGGCAGGGCUUGUCCCAGAUGACGAAGACGACAUCGAGGCUGAUGCUGUUGCUUUGCUCGGUAUCGAUCUAACCUCUGCUCCUGUCGAUCUAAGUUCUAAUCCGACCAACGCUGGUGGAGGGCCUGCUACGGCCACCGAUACUCCGAUCGGCUCCACCAGCACCGAUGGUGGUACUGGUACCUCAUAUGUUGGUAAGCGUAAAUCUGAUCUGUGCUUUCACUGCUUUGUUCUAGUGUGCUGA